rnacentral:rRNA from 1 species
ACGGAAGGCAGCAGUAGGGAAUAUUGGACAAUGGGGGCAACCCUGAUCCAGCGACGCCGCGUGAGUGAAGAAAUAUUUCGGUAUGUAAAGCUCUAUCAGCAGGGAAGAAAAUGACGGUACCUGACUAAGAAGCACCGGCUAAAUACGUGCCAGCAGCCGCGGUAAUACGUAUGGUGCAAGCGUUAUUCGGAUUUACUGGGUGUAAAGGGGGCGUAGACGGCAUAGCAAGUCUGAAGUGAAAUGCGGGGGCUCAACCCCUGAACUGCUUUGGAAACUGUUAAGCUAGAGUGUCGGAGAGGUAAGUGGAAUUCCUAGUGUAGCGGUGAAAUGCGUAGAUAUUAGGAGGAACACCAGUGGCGAAGGCGGCUUACUGGACGAUAACUGACGUUGAGGCUCGAAAGCGUGGGGAGCAAACAGGAUUAGAUACCCUGGUA